rnacentral:rRNA from 1 species
AGCGAACGCUGGCGGCAGGCCUAACACAUGCAAGUCGAACGGACCUUUCGGGGUUAGUGGCGGACGGGUGAGUAACACGUGGGAACGUGCCUUUAGGUUCGGAAUAACUCAGGGAAACUUGUGCUAAUACCGAAUGUGCCCUUCGGGGGAAAGAUUAAUCGCCUUUAGAGCGGCCCGCGUCUGAUUAGCUAGUUGGUUGAGGUAAUGGCUCACCAAGGCGACGAUCAGUAGCUGGUCUGAGAGGAUGAUCAGCCACAUUGGGACUGAGACACGGCCCAAACUCCUACGGGAGGCAGCAGUGGGGAAUCUUGCGCAAUGGACGAAAGCCUGACGCAGCCAUGCCGCGUGAAUGAUGAAGGUCUUAGGAUUGUAAAAUUCUUUCACCGGGGACGAUAAUGACGGUACCCGGAGAAGAAGCCCCGGCUAACUUCGUG